UUUAUCAAAAUUGUUGUGAAU
rnacentral:piRNA from 1 species